CCGUGUCAGGUCACAUUGUGCCACCUUGCCAGAAGGUGCAACCUGCGAGGCCCCAGGUGGACUGGGU
rfam:Alfuy virus strain MRM3929, complete genome.